AGAGGUGGCGAGCGUUGUUCGGAUUUACUGGGCGUAAAGGGUGCGUAGGUGGUACCGUAUGUCAAUCGUGAAAGCCCACAGCUCAACUGUGGAACUGCGGUUGAAACUACGGAACUGGAGUGCAGGAGGGGAGAGCGGAAUUCUUGGUGUAGCGGUGAAAUGCGUUGAUAUCAAGAAGAACACCGGUGGCGAAGGCGGCUCUCUGGAAUGUUACUGACACUGAUGCACGAAAGCUGGGGGGGGAGCGAACAGGAUUAGAUACCCUGGUAGUCCCAGCCCGUAAACGGUGUGCACUUGGUGUGGGGGGUAUUGACCCCCUCCGUGCCGGAGCUAACGCGUUAAGUGCACCGCCUGGGAGUACGGCCGCAAGGCUA
rnacentral:rRNA from 1 species